AGUUAAAAGCCUUUGCAAGCUCAAAAUUAACUACUCUUGAUUCCCUCUGGGAAGAGUAGUGAAGACGGCCCUAUGAUGUAACUCAGUAGCUAAGGCUUUGCCCUCUCACACUGAUGAUCUGGGUUCAAUUCUCUGCCUAUGAACUUGCCUGUUUUACAGCUAGG
rnacentral:lncRNA from 13 species